GGGGAUUUAGCUCAGUGGUAGAGCGCUUGCCUAGCAAGUGCCAGGCCCUGGGUUCGGUCCCCAGCUCCG
rfam:Rattus norvegicus chromosome 9, whole genome shotgun sequence.